CAACUGCCAGACCAAAGCCGGGAAGAGACAAAGCUGGCGGCCAGUGGGUCUUGCAAGGCCAGGAAAGGUUGGAGAGGCUUUCUCUUCCUCAUAUCGAAGCAAAACAGUGCCAAACUGGCAGCUUCGGGAGUUACAAUCCUGUAGACCAGAUCCUGGGGUUCACCGUGGCCAUUGUGAGCAUCACACUCUGAUACCAACCCAGAGAGCAGAAGCUGCCGCACACCCAAAGCUUGGACCUCACCCCUUGUUGGCUCUGAUCCGUGACAAAAGGCUCUUUCAGAUUUACAGUGGCACCCGCAGCUCCUGAGGCACAGAACCAUAACUCUCCUGUAGAAACUCCACGUCAUUCUCUUUUCCGGAAUGCGGGAUGAGUUUUCUAGGUCAUUCAUACAAGGCAAACUUUAGGACUUAAGAGAAAAACCGCAUCUCCAAUGUAUCCAACAAUAACUCUUGACUAGGUGAUCCUAUAAACCAUAACCUUCUUAGAGAAUUCACAGAAAAGUUGUACUGUCUAUAUAAAAAAUUUUUCUAGUCUGUUUUAUUAUUCAGUAUUAUCACCAAAUCCAUAUAUUCUUAAUUAUAAUUUUUAGGGAGUAUUUAUAAAUCUCUAAGAAACUUAUUAAAUAAAUGUUUUCUGUUCUUAUAUAAAGUGUAGUUCAUUAACCUAUAUUUUAAUAUCAUUUGACUAUUUAACUGUUUAGUAUUCUUUUUUAAAAAGUUACAUCUAUAAAGUCAAUUUUCCACUGAAAGGGGAAAAUUGGUGUGUUAUAAUCAUUUAAAUUUGCAUUUUGUUGGCAGAAAAUUCAAUCAGAUUCUAAAGGAAUAGUAAGGGUGCUUACAUAUUUGAUAUGUCUGGGAAGGUUCAUGAAUUAAAACAACUAAAUUUAAUAUAUUUUAAAUAUCAAAUACAACAGAAAUCUGCACUGCUAGUUAUAUUUUUAGAAGAGAUAUAAAAUGUAAAGUACAGUUAAAUAUUAAACAAAUUAAACAAUUAAAUAUUAAAAUAUUAAUUUAUAAUGUACAACUAAUAUACAUAUACAUAAAAUAUAUCUUAGCAAAAUAAGACAAAGAUAAUGGGGCAAAUUACAAAUACAAAUAUACUAGGUCUUUAAUCUGAUGUUGUAGUUUUUGUUUUCCUCAAUUUUAAACAGAAAACAAGGUUUUUGAUUUAAUGAAUUUUAGUCUGAAUUUUAAGUACUAGUUAUUGAUUUAAUUUAGCAUCUAUAUGCAGGAGUUAUUUUUCUUUAGAAUUGUCUCAUAUUUCACACAUUUCUGAAAAAUAUGAUGUAAGAUUGACAUUGGCUUUCUAUUGAUACUGUUUUUAUUAUUCGUUGUACUAAAUAUAAAUAAUUUCAUUAAAGCAAUCAAUAUAUCUACUUAUGUUUGAAGGAACCUUUAUAAUAUUUUCUUUUAAAUAAUAUUUCUGUAAAUUUUAAGUUGUGAAAAAUAAAAUAAUAAAAAAGUAUAAAACAUAUAUGCUUGAUGGUGACAGUGUACCUCCCAUGGGCAUGACUUGAGUAGAUCACCUAGAAAUGACAGCUGUCCGUUCAGAACUGGCAAUGAAGAGGAAGCAGCAAAAUUGAAAAGACAAAUACUAAAAGAAGUAUCCAGCUGAGAAACGGAGCAAAUGUUGACACAGCAGAAAUUUGGAUGCAUGCCAAAUGAGAAACAGAAGGGUCGAUGAGAAAGAAGGGUACGCUCUUUUCCAUAAAUAGUGGUCAUCAGUGGUUUGAAUUGACUAUUAAGCCAUCUUUAAUGGUUUAUAUUUGUGCAUUUGCUACUUCAUUUAGCAAAUUUGUAUAAUUUUUGUCCUUUUUUGAUAGCACUUAUCCAAGCUUUAUAAAGCCAAUCUUUGAAUACAGUAGUGGUUUCAAAAUAUAAACAAAUAAAAAAAAUUGAGUAUAUAUGUGCAUGCCUGUGCCCACUGCGUUCAGAAUAAAGUGUCAGAUCCUCUAAAACUGAAGGUUUUAUAUAUUUCCUGAAUGCUGGUUGGGUAUUAUUUUGGAUUUUUGUAAUUUGUCUCUUCAGAAGAAUACACCAAAGGAAGCUGGAUACAGAAAAAU
rnacentral:lncRNA from 1 species